rnacentral:lncRNA from 1 species
UUCUCACACAUGAUAAAGGCAGAUGUUUGAAAGCACAACACAUUAAAAAAACAUCAACCCCACGAGCAAGAGAAUUAGCAGUGGGCGUCUUCAAAAGAUUGGCAUCCGUUCAACUAAUCACUCUGUCGCUUGUUCACACUUUUGUGCCAUGCUCGCCUCUUUCACCUUGUGCAUUGUCUCACUUAAUUCUCGACUGCAGGGAAGAAGAAAUAAAUUGUCAUAAGGUGCUACAUAGAAAUUUUUAAUCUCUUGUUACAAAUAACUAUGGUAGAACUUAAAUUACGCACAUAUAUAGUCAUGAUUCUUCUUCAUGUGAUAGAAAGUAUGCAAAAUAAUGAGCUAGCCAAAAGAAAGAAAUAUCUUUUUAUCAGAAACAGGUAUAAAACCAAGUUGGGUUGUUCAUCUUUACUACUCUAUUAAGAGUACAACGAAGGCGUCCACACCCCUUGCCCCCGCUUACUGCCGCCCGCCUGCCCCUGCUCACGCGUCCGCCAGCUCGCCCGCAGGGCGAGGCAAUGCCUCCGCCCCGAUGCCCCCCGCCCUCGUCUUCACCAUCAGCCACGCAAUACCCACCCCUAGCCUUCGCCCCAACAGAUGACGCGCGACUGCUGCGCCCCGCCCGCUUGUGGUUACCUCCCCCCUCCCCCGCUCGCGACACAUGCCCCUUGCCCCGCGUGCGUCGUCUCCCGUCACACCACCCCCUCGGUCGCCUCGACGUCGGCGCGAGGCUCCAGGCCAUCGGGGACGGGCCCGGGACGGGGCAGCCCGAGCAGGCCAUGGUCUACGACGGUGCCUACGAUCCCUGGACCCUAGAGGACACCAACGUGUGUGAGGUCCUACCCUGCCCCCGCCCGUGUGCGUCGUCUCCCCUUGUGAACUUGUGAUCUAUUUUGUUUAGAUACUCUAUGAUUUGAAUUUUCCCUCUUUUUUUGUUAUUUGUCUUCCUUAACUAUAAUGAUUGUGAUGAAACUUUAUUGUUGUGGAAUUUCUCAUCUAUGUUACAAGAUAGCUAUUCACCACUUUGAGGUCUGAAAUAAAACAUAACAACACUCUUAGGCUCACUUUGAGGUCUGAAAUAAAACAUAAUAGCACUCUUACAUGAUUACCACAUAGCUAUUCACCACUUUGAGGUCUACAGGUCUCAGGCUCACUUUGAGAGGCUAGCAGAUUUGCUUACUUCAGAUAUUUUGAAGCCUUGUACCAAGCCACCAAGGAGCAGGGUUGCAUCGGUCUUACUGCCAAUGAUG